rnacentral:rRNA from 1 species
UGCCAGCAGCCGCGGUAACACGGGGGGCGCAAGCGUUAUUCGGAAUUAUUGGGCGUAAAGAGCGCGUAGGCGGACGGACAAGUCUGGUGUGAAAUCGCUACCGCUUAACGGAGCGUCGCCACUGGAAACUGUUCGUCUUGAGUGUGGCAGAGGUUGGUGGAAUUCCAGGUGUAGCGGUGGAAUGCGUAGAUAUCUGGAAGAACACCGGUGGCGAAGGCGACCAACUGGGCCAUUACUGACGCUGAGGCGCGAAAGCCAGGGGAGCGAACGGGAUUAGAUA